rnacentral:rRNA from 1 species
UACGGGGGGGGCAAGCGUUGUUCGGAAUUACUGGGCGUAAAGGGCUCGUAGGCGGCCAACUAAGUCAGACGUGAAAUCCCUCGGCUCAACCGAGGUGCGUCGAUCGAUACUGCCGUUCUUGAGGGUUGCAGAGGAGACUGGAAUUCCCGGUGUAGCGGUGAAAUGUGUAGAGAUCGGGAGGAACACCGGUGGCGAAGGCGGGUCUCUGGGCAACUCCUGACGCUGAGGCGCGAAAGCGUGGGGAGCAAACGGG